CCUACGGGAGGCAGCAGUGGGGAAUAUUGCGCAAUGGGCGAAAGCCUGACGCAGCGCCGCCGCGUGAGGGCUGAAGGUCUUCGGAUCGUAAACCUCUGUCAGCAGGGAAGUACGGUCCCUGUGCUAAUAAGCAGUGAAUUUACGGUCCCUGCCAAGGCAUCACCGGCUAACUCCGUGCCAGCAGCAGCGGUAAUACGGAGGCUGCGCGCGUUAAUCGGAAUUACUGGGGGUAAAGCGCUCGUAGGCGGUAUGUCAAGUCAAGGGUGAAAUCCCCGCGCUGAACGUGGGAACUGCAUGUUAAACUGGCAAACGGGAGUGUGUGAGAGGAGAGUGGAAUUCCAGGGGUAGGAGUGAAAUCCGUAGAUAUCUGGAGGAACAUCAGUGGCGAAGGCGACUAUCUGGCACAUAACUGACGCUGAGGAGCGAAAGCGUGGGUAGCAAACAGGAUUAGAUACCCUUGGAGUC
rnacentral:rRNA from 1 species